AAAUUGAAGAGUUUGAUCAUGGCUCAGAUUGAACGCUGGCGGCAGGCCUAACACAUGCAAGUCGAGC
rnacentral:rRNA from 15 species